UACGUAGGGGGCAAGCGUUGUCCGGAAUUAUUGGGCGUAAAGCGCGCGCAGGCGGCUUUGUAAGUUUGGUGUUUAAUCUCAGAGCUCAACUCUGAUUCGCAUCGAAAACUGCAAGGCUUGAGUACAGAAGAGGAAAAUGGAAUUCCACGUGUAGCGGUGAAAUGCGUAGAUAUGUGGAAGAACACCGGUGGCGAAGGCGAUUUUCUAGAUUAUUCCUGACGCUGAGGCGCGAAAGCAAGGGGAUCAAACAGG
rnacentral:rRNA from 1 species